rnacentral:lncRNA from 1 species
GGGUACAAUUCAAGGGGCCAAGAGGCAGGCUCCAGGAGCCCAGGGUGCUCACGUCCCCUGCUCCUAACUCUGUAACUGCAUCCUGCAAGUCCUGCUCCCACAGCCUUACUUUAGAGGGCAAACAAAUUCAAUCGGGUAGUCAUUGAGUGCCCCUUUGAAAGACUUCCUGGUGAGUUCAUGGGUGGGCUGUGUCUGUUACAUGCUGUGCUGCACAGGGUGUGUCCCAAAGGUGAUGCUGAUGAAGCUGCCUUCAUCAAUGUUAGCCCAAGGAGCCACAUCCACUCCCAAGCAAGUGUGCGCCACCAGUCACUGUGCAA